rnacentral:tRNA from 1 species
GGGUCGGUGCCCGAGUGGCCAAUGGGAACAGACUGUAAAUCUGUCGGCUUGACUGCCUACGGUGGUUCGAAUCCACCCCGGCCCACCA